AAUCAACGCUGGCGGCGUGCCUAACACAUGCAAGUCGAACGCGAAAGCCCUUUCGGGGGUAAGUAGAGUGGCGUCCGGGUGAGUAACACGUAGGUAAUCUACCUUCGGGUGGGGAAUAACUCGCCGAAAGGCGAGCUAAUACCGCAUAAUGCAGCGGCACCUAAUGGUGAUUAGUUGUUAAAGCGGGGGAUCGUAAGACCUCGCGCCUGAAGAGGAGCCUGCGGCAGAUUAGCUAGNGGUGAGGUAAUGGCUCACCAAGGCUUCGAUCUGUAGCUGGUCUGAGAGGACGGCCAGCCACACUGGCACUGACACACGGGCCAGACUCCUACGGGAGGCAGCAGUGGGGAAUUUUGGGCAAUGGGCGCAAGCCUGACCCAGCAACGCCGCGUGAGGGAGGAAAUCCUUCGGGAUGUAAACCUCACAAGCAAGGGAAGAGAGCUCAGGACCAAAUAAGUCCUGAGUCCGACGGUACCUUGCGUAAGCC
rnacentral:rRNA from 1 species